AGUGAACGUUGGCGGCGUGGAUUAGGCAUGCAAGUCGAGCGAUCGUAGCAAUACGGGAGCGGCAAACGGGGUAGGAAUACAUCGGAACGUACCUUUUGGUUGAGAAUAGCGUUGGGAAACUGACGGUAAUACUCAAUAAAGUCGAGAGACCAAAGGUUUACUGCCGGAAGAGCGGCCGAUGCGAUAUUAGGUAGUUGGUGGGGUAAUGGCCUACCAAGCCUGAGAUGUCUAGGGGGUGUGAGAGCAUGGCCCCCACCACUGGGACUGAGAUACUGCCCAGACACCUACGGGUGGCUGCAGUCGAGGAUCUUCGUCAAUGGGCGAAAGUCUGAACGAGCGACGCCGCGUGCGGGAUGAAGGCCCUUGGGUUGUAAACCGCUGUCAGGGGGAUGAAACCGUAAGGUUGACAGAGCCCCAGAGGAAGCACGGGCUAAGUUCGUGCCAGCAGCCGCGGUAAU
rnacentral:rRNA from 1 species